UACGAAGGGGGCUAGCGUUGUUCGGAUUUACUGGGCGUAAAGCGCACGUAGGCGGAUUGGUCAGUUAGAGGUGAAAUCCCGAAGCUCAACUUCGGAACUGCCUUUAAUACUGCCAGUCUCGAGUCCGGAAGAGGUAAGUGGAACUCCUAGUGUAGAGGUGGAAUUCGUAGAUAUUAGGAAGAACACCAGUGGCGAAGGCGGCUUACUGGUCCGGUACUGACGCUGAGGUGCGAAAGCGUGGGGAGCAAACAGG
rnacentral:rRNA from 1 species